GCCGUGGCAUACAGGUUAGCGCUUCGGACUUGUAACCGGAGGGUUGCCGGUUCGAACCCCGACCAGUAGGCA
rnacentral:tRNA from 1 species